ACUUGAUUCUGGUUUCCUUCUGCAACGCAUCACCUUGAUUUUCCUCUCCCGCAUGGCCGCAUCUACUCUGUUAUGUCCGUGGCGUCGCGUUUGCAGCUCGUGGUUUGGCGACGCCCUAUCGGAUCCUGCCCCUCAGCUUUGAGCCACCGAGGGGCGCCACCGUUUUCGGAAGAGGUGGGUUCUUCUCGCGCGAGGUGAUGGCGGGGGAGAGCGAGGCGCUUGAAAAGAAAAGAGAAAAACCCGUUCGGGAUGAGCCGCGUGGGGGAAGCGGUGGCACACGGAUGUAAUUUCCGAGAGUUGACGUACGGCGACCGUACCAUCACCACCAACUCCAAUUUAAUACUCCGUAUAUUGGUAUAGAUUACUGUAGAUACAAAUUCCUAAUACAUGUGGAGAGUACGAAUUAAUUCGAGUUCAAUUCCUACAUGACGUGACAACUUUUUUUCAGACUCAUUCUUCUCUAGUUCGAUUCGAUGACGUGACAACUUUAAAGGGAAGGCUUAAAACUUUAAAGGGAAGGCUCACGUCGCGGGUGCCAAUGUCAAAAAUCAAUACGGUUCGAUUCGAGCUUGCUUGAGUUGAGAUUACCUCGUCGGUUUCCAGUUCGACCGAUACAUGAACAAAAGUUGACCGAUAAAUAAGUUGACAUAUAUCGAUGAUAGACACGCACAUCGGUUUCUCGGGAAAAAAAAAAAAAUACACGCACAUCGAUGGAGCAGUGGUCUGAGCUCCCCUACAAUAUCCUCGGCAUGAUCCGCUCCAGGGUCGCCUCCCCACGGGGUCGGGGUCGCGUCCGCUUCGCCGCCGUCUGCAGGCCGUGACGUGCCGCGGCGUUACGCCGCCCGUCUCCGCACGCUCCGCCGCCGUUGUUGCUCCUCUCGCCACUAUACGGCGACCGGGAGACGAAAGCCUUGUACUGCCUCGAAGACGGCGGGGUCAUGCGUCUCCGGCCUCCGAGAGACGUGUGGGGCAAGUGGCUCGUCGGCGGUCACGACGGAGGCUGGAUUGCUUGGUGGAUCCACGACAAGGUACCGCCGAUAGUGAUCGUGAACCUCUUCUCUGGCGCCGAGAUCGCCCUAUCCGAGAAGCAAAGGAGCUUGGAAUGCAAAGUCUGCUCACCACGCGCACGUCGCGCCUCCUUGAUCCGGAAAAUCACCUUCUCGGAGGCCCCCA
rnacentral:lncRNA from 1 species